rnacentral:lncRNA from 1 species
CGAACUCGAAUUUUACAUUGAUCACCAAAAUGAUCAUAGGUAAUUUUGUUUACAAAAUAAGUUAUCACGUCAAACUGAAACACUUAAUCAUUUUAAGAUUUAGUCAGUAAAAUUACAGCUAAGUUUAAUAUUUAUAACUAGAAUUAAAUAAACGAAUGACAAUUCAAAACGGAACUUGUACUAGAGCUUAAUAAAACCUUACAGUUCAAAAACCGAAUAACAAAAUAAAUCUGAAAAUACAACUGAUAAUUUAUUUUUCGCCAAGACUGUCCGAGACUUCCGCAUACUAAGUCUAGCGGCGGAAUUCAGAAAAGUACCUGAAAAGAGAGACACUAAGGGGGUGAGUUACUCGAGCUUAGUGUGAGUUCGAAUCAAGACUAAAAACAAAAUAACAGAAUUUUAUUUAAUAGUGUAACAAAUUUACAGAUAUUUACUGAGUUAGAAAGGAAACUUGGAACUAACGUCCUAAUAGAACAUAACACUCAAGCACACCAAAUCACAAAACAGACAGAUAGAAUACGUCAGAUAGUCUAACACCUAGGACAUACAAAUAGACGCGUAUGAAAUGCAGUCAAGUAAUAAAACUUACCCAUCUAGCCAACACACCUCUCCGUCCCCCGAUUACACCCCAUAAGAGUUGUUUAAGCUCAUCCAACCAAAACACACCACAUAGGACCUCGUAGGCCCAUCUAACACUACGCACUAUAUCUAUAGACUAAGCCACUUAGAUAUUAAUACGCAGUAGAGCUGGCGUAUGUGCUGUACAGUGCAAUGCGGUAAUCCGCUGUACAGACAUGUUGCAAUUUAAACUACCAAAUCAGAUAAUAGUACGCAGCGAAGUUGACGCACAUGCAGUCUAGUACGAUAAAUCGCUGUACGAAUAAGUUGCAGUAAAACUGCCAAAUCAAAUCAGAAUCAGAAUCCCUUCUCUUCGCAAUCUCGCCUAAAACUUUACUUUAUGCAAGUGAGUGUAUGCUUAUAACCUCACAGAACAGUGACACUUUAUCAGAAAGUCAGACAGAACAGAUAUGCAUACACACACACACACCUAGUUGCCCAGGUUCAGAAUUAGACCUCAAUCACAAAAAACACAUAAAUAGAGUACAUGGUCACAAAUAUCGAGACUUAAACACUCUCACUAAAACUUAGCCAAUGGUUAGAAUACACAGACACAUUUUUAGAUAAAAAACACAUACAAGCUAAAAUUUGGUGUCUUAGGACCACACAGCUGUGUGCUCUGGCCAUGUGGAAAUGCCUAGGCCGUGUGGGAGGUCAAACGUCCAUAGGAGGAGGCGCACACGCCUGUGUAAAGAGAGACACACACCCGUGUGGACCAACAUGGCCGUGGGAAUAGACCGUGUAACUUACUGUCCAAUUGAGCUAAAAUAGAGUACAGGGCAGACACAGCUGUGUGCCCACCAAACACGGCCUUGUGUGCAAAACACACGCUCGUGUGGGAUCCUUAAAUCCCCAAAUUAGCCACACGGUCGUGUGGCACCAAAUUUUACCCUAAAACUCUAAUUCCUAAAAAUGCACAGCCAUGUGAAUUGGCACACGCCCGUGUGGCCACCUGUGUGGUCAUGAAACCACCUCGAAAUUGGUUGAAAACUCAAUUUUACAACCUUAAAACGAACCCCAGACCUUGACAACCCAAAAGUAUAUCAAUAUUACACCCAAAUUCUAGCUAUCAACACAUUAAUCUACCUUUUUAAAGGUCCAAUUCCCAACACACAAAACAGUGUCGCAAAGCAUGCCGAAAAUAUGAAAAAUGAAGGGAAAGGUUCCCAACACGCAUGAAACAGAAAUCUACAAAUCAUAUCUCCAAUUCACAAUAACAAAAAGAGUUAUGAAUCCCACACCUGUUUUACAAUUGGAGAUAAUUCGACACUAACUCGACGACAGAUGAGUGAAAUUCCCGAAAUCAACCAGUAAAAUCAUUUUUUGAAAAUAAAAAUAAAAAUAAAAAUAAAGAAGAACAAAAAAUAAAAAAGAAGAGACAGAGAGAAAAGAAGAGGAGGGUGUUCCAGGAGAAAGAAAAGAAUCCCAUAUAAAAUAAAAAUAAAUAAUUAUAUACUUAAAAUUAAAACAAACAAACAAAACAAGAUAAUAAAAAUAAAAGUAUCCUCCAAAAUGUACACACAAUGACUCGAACCCAGAACAUUGGGGUAUUCUAACACUCACACAACCAGUAGACCAACAUGCUCAUUCUGACACUUAAAUACACAACUAAACACAAUAGCGUAACCUUCUCACUGACCCUAACCACAUAACCCAAAUCUUCUAACCCCAAAAUUCAGGGUGUUAUAGAUACCUGACUAUUCAAAAAAUGAGAUGGAACGAUUGAUCUAGGAGAUGUUCCACGAUAGGAUUAUUAGAGACAGUAAUAGUGCAUUUUCUUCUUCAAUUGUAAUGGUCAAGAAAAAGAACGGAAGUUGGCAUCUUUGUGUGGACUAUCGAUAAUUAAAUAAGUUAACUAUCAGAGACAAUUUCCCAAUUCCUGUAAUAGAAAAACUAUUAGAUGAGCUUGGUUAGGUAAUGUUUUUUUUCAAAACUGGAUCUUUGCGCCAGCUAUUAUCAAAUUCGCAUGCAUGCAUAAAAAAGAUAUCUACAAGACGACAUUCCGAACUCAUGAAAGUUAUUAUGAGUUUUUAGUGAUACCUUUCGGGCUCACUGACGCUUCAUUUACCUUCUAGGCUCUAAUGGAUUCAAUUUUUAAACCCUUGUUGAGGAAAUCGGUACUUGUUUUCUUUAAUGACAUAUUGGUAUACUCUAACUCAUGGUUUGAACACUUAUUACAGUUAGAACAUGUGUUAAACAUCUUACGGUCCCACUAGUUGUUUGCUAAAAAAGAAAAAUAUCAGUUUGGGGCUACUAGUAUCGAGUACUUAGGCUAUGUCAUCUCUAGUGGCACUGUGGUCAUAGAUCAAUCAAAGGUCGAUAAUGUGUUCAUCUGGCCUAAACCACAAUCAACUAAGGAGCUUAGAUCAUUAUUGAGAUUAUCGGGGUAUUAUAGGAGGUUUAUACAAGGGUACGGAACCAUUGCUAAACCUUUUACCAAGCUUUUGAAUAAAAAAACAAUGGGCAUGGACAACGUUCGUCGAUGAAGCUUUCCAAGCUUUGAAAGUGGCCAUCAGUUCAGCCCCAAUUCUAAUGCUACCUGAUUUUGAAAAUGGAUUUUGUGUUGACAUUGACACUAGCGAUAUUGGAGUUAGGGCCAUCCUCCAUCAACGAGGUUACCCAGUGGCAUUUUUAAGCAAGGCCUUAGGGUAAGGUAUAAAACGUUAUCUAUUUACAAAAAAGAAAUGCUAACAGCACUAUUAUCUGUUAAAAAAUGGCACCAAUAUUUGGUUGGUUGACAUUUUAAGAUCCGAACCGACCAUCAAAGCCUCCGUUUCAUUUUCGACCAACAGGCCAUCGCACCCUUCCAACAAAGAUGGGUGGCCAAAAUGCUAGGAUAUAGUUUUGAUAUUGUGUACAGGAAAUGGAGUAAGAAUAUAGUAGCUGACGUUUUUUCUCGAGAACCCGACUACUCCUCAAAGCAACUGUUUCAAAUAGUGGGAAGUUACGUUGUCUCAGAGUUAUGGCCUCGUGUGCAGAAUUCAUAAAAACACGACCCACGAUUAAGUGUGUGUCGAAUUGCAACAAAAUCCUAGCUCCCAUCCAAAAUACACAUAGGAUAGUUUGUGUCUCAGGAGAAAAAGGGAAGUUGGUGGUAGGAUCUUAACUAAGAAAUACAAAAGAAACUUUUUACUUUCUUUCAUAACAAUGCCUUAGGGGGCCACUCAAGCACUAAAACCACACAAUAUCGUAUAACAAAUUGGGUCUAUUAGAAAUGGAUGUCCAAAGACAUAAAAAGGUGGGUGAGAGAAUUUGGUGUUUGCCAAAGGAACAAAUAUAAUCCAUCAGCUUCACCGAGACUCUUGCAGCCACUAUCGAUACCUUCUAGAGUGUGGGCAGAUAUAAGCAUGGACUUUAUAAAUGGGUUGCCAGUUUUAUAGGGGAAUGACAUUAUAUGGGUUGUAGUAGACCGUUUAACGAAAUAUGGGCACUUCGUGGCUUUAACCCAUCUAUACUCGGCUCUAACAGUUGCUCAAGCUUACUUAGAUAAUAUUUUCAAACUCCAUGGUCUUCCGGACACCAUAGUUUCCUACAGGGAUAAGGUCUUUGUCAGCAAUUUUUGGCAGAAACUUUUCACUAAGCUUGGGACAAAACUUCACCAUUCAAGUGCUUAACAUCCGUAACCAGACGGACAAACGGAAGCCUUAAACAAGUGCUUCAAAAAUUACUUGUGAUGUAUGAUUGGGGAACGACCAAAAGAAUAGAGUUAUUGGUUAUCGUUAGCUGAAUGGUGGUAUAACACCACUUUCCAUUUUGCUAUUAAGGAGACGCCUUAUAAAGCUUUAUACGGGCAGGCACCUCUACAUCAUCUGUCCUAUUUAGUUGGUUCAUCAAACGUAGUAUGUGCAGACUGAAGCCUUCAAUAACGAAAGGUUGUAAUGAAAAUGCUGCAAUUCUACCUCAAAUGGCCGUAGGAGAGGAUGAAACUUUUUGCGGAUAAGAGGAAGAGCGACCAACAAUUUCAAGUGUAAAAAUGGGUCUAUCUAAAACUCCAACCGUACUGACAACAUAAUCCCCAGAGGAUCUUCAACCUUAAGUUAGCUCCUCGUUAUUUUAGGCCAUUCAAAGUGGAAGCCAAGAUUAGGGAAGUCGCCUACCGCCUCCAACUACCCCCGGACUCAUGAGUGCAUCUAACCUUCCAUAUGUCCCAACUUAAGCGUCAUGUUAGCCAGCAACCAGUUCAACCUGUACUACUAGCAAUGGAUUGGGAUGAGACCCUUCCAAAGGAGCCAGUCCGGAUUAUAGAUAGGAGAUUGGUAAAGAGGGGAAAUUAGGCAACGACCGAGGUAUUGAUCGAAUGGGCAAAUUUGUUUCUAGAGGAUGCUACCUGGGAGAAUUUGGCUGAUCUGCCACGUCGCUUCCCAACCUUCUAUCCUUUAGGUCAAAGAUCCUGUCGACAAUGGGAAUAGUUGUUACGUGCUCAUUUUACUAGUUGAUGUUAUUUCUUUCUAUUUUGAAUAAUACCAUGAGUUUGGAAACAAAUCAAAACACAUGAUUUGGUUGGUUCUGAUCUUGCUGCCUGUAAAUACGUGGGUAGUUUUGAUUUUUAGGGAUUGUAACAGCUACAAGACUUUAUUAUAUAAGCAGGGAGGGGAGUUGACGAGGACACAGUGAAAAUAAAUAAGUUCUUCUCUUUUAUUCGCAAAUUAUCAUAUUUAUCUUUUCUUUGUCAUACUUCUUCCCUAUUUCUUUCUUUCUUCUUCUUGUCUACUAUUAUUUUCUACUGUAAGUUGCUGCAAAUUCUUAAGUAAAAUUCAACCCAGUUCCAACAAUUAACAUAUCAACAAAGUGAUGGUUGUAACAAAAGAUGAAUCAGUCAGUGCUGCGUUGAUAGAAGAAAGUAAAGAGAGGAUUAAGAAAUUUGACUACGUAAGAUUUAGAUUCGUACCUCGAACAGCAAAUCGAGCUGUACACAAAAUGGCUCAAGACUCACCGACGUUCUGGGUUGAAGAAGCACCAGAAAAAGUCGUAAGAAUAGUAGAUUUGGAUAGAGGGAGUAUGAGUAGAGAAGAAGUGUUAAAUUUUUCUGAGUAAAAUGACAAAGAUAUAAGAACGAAGUGCGAUUAAAACUCAAAGUUACAGAAGAGAAGAAUCAGAGCAAGAGUUCAAGAAAUAACUUCACUAGAAAUGGGGUAGAUUCACUCCUUAUUCAAAUGCUGAUGAAGAGAGGAAAGGGGGAAAGAAUGAGGCUAACGGCUUGUUUACCCACCGGUUUUUUUGUUUGAUUGUUAUGUUCUGCUUUUUAGGAUUUCUAAAGGGUUUUCUUUUGUGUUUUUAGGAGUUACUCUUGUAAAGAGUUUUUUAUUAGGAUUAGAGGACAAGGGCCUUAAAUGGCUUUUAACAGACCGUAGUAGAUGGUUUAAUGAGUUUUUCCUUCUUCUAAUUAAUGUAUCAGUAGAAAUUAAGUUAAUAAAAAUUAAAACUCAAUUUUACUAAG